CAUUAAUUUUGCUGUUCUUGACGUUGAUGCCUUUGACGUUCAAGGUUCUUCUUCUCUUUUCAGCUCAUUGAAGGAAAUUAAAAUCUGGGAAAAUUGUUCUUUUGGGUGGUGACUGAAAGCUUUCACAUUAAUGGGGGGUUGCCUCUCUUUGCUCAUGUUUCUGGGUUCUGCAUGUUUCUGCAGGAAGAAGGUGAGACUGUACUAAAAGGGUAACUCAAAAUCUUUGAAUCUGAGUCGAGAUUUGCUGGACACAGCCACAUCUCAGGCUCAGACAAGAGCAGUGCAGCUGCUGCUUUGGAGAGAGUCGGUGUAUGAUUAAUGCUGCUUUUCUUCAAUCCAAGGGCUUCUGGGGGAGUUUUGUCUAGUUAAUGCUUCAUUAAUGUAUUGAUUCUUGCCUUGGGAGAGUCAAGUAUUGUUGAUUCCUUGUGCUUUUUGCAGGUAUGGGUUGGGUGAUGUUUGAUGUGGAUCUAGUUUAAUUAGAAUCAAGGAAAUAAAAUGCACAGCUUUUCUGGGCAUGGUUUUGUGGAAGACCUCUCAGACCGAGUCCCAGAAACUAGAAACAGGUGCUUUCUGAACGCAGAGCUCUUCCCUGUGCUUUUAGUCUUUUAUUUCUCCAACUUAGCUUAUGAAGUAUGAUGAUGUGGACGCGCUUUGGUUUGAUUCGAUUCGACUUUUGCCCAAGCCAAGCGACCGCAUCCAAGUACUAGCAGUAGCGUUGUGCUCGAGUGUAGUUCCAAGAAAGUGCUUGUUUUGGUUCUUGGACGGUGACUUCGACGCUGAUGAUCUGUUGCUUCUUUUUUAAUAGGGUCGUUUGGCGUCACGCCUUCGACGAAAUUUCUUCAAAAGAAAGCGACAUCCAAGGGGUAGGAGACAUUGGGCCCACGCGUUUGUUUGGCUGGUGGAACAAUAUCGUAUAGUUUACGUUGUUGACGGCACAGAACACUUCACCGGACAGAGAGAGAUUAAGCUAAGUCCCCCCCCAGCCCCCAGUGCAUCAAUGGUCAAGCUCCUAUUAUCGUUCUUUAGAUCCAUGUUCUUGACACACUUUUUAAGCAACUGUUCUUCAGGCCAGACAUUCCUCUCAACUGCUGAGUCGUGGGACACUUGCCGAAUUGAUUGCCUUGCGUCACUUCUGUUGAAGCAAAAGAGGGUGCACUGGUGCAUCGCCAGCUAGGAUAGGAUCAACAAGUGGUGCUUGAG